CAGGUGUGGCUGGGGGCAGUAGCUGGUUUGGCCAUAAAUAGAUAGGGGGCUGGGGCCUCUGUUUUGCUGUUUGCAUGGCUACAUCUCAUGAAAGGUGCAGUAUUCUGCUACUGCCACCAGAAAAAGUGGUAGAACAGUUGCAUCUAGUGGAGUCAUUUGUCUUGAAACAAGGAACGUCUACCAUCCACCAAAUGUCCCAUUGACCUUCUACUGGGCUGGUAGAACAGAGUUUGCACUGGAAAUCUGCAGGCUGACUCCAGGGCAGACUGAUCAAAGUGGAAUUAUUCAUCCAUCCACUGGACUCCACGCCCUAGUGACAGCCACAUGCCCAUGCAGGGACAAGAGCAUGAGCUCCAGCACUGGUGAAGCCUGGUUUCCUGUGGAUGAUCCUUGAGGCCAUUCUCCUGGGAUUAUUCUGGGACUGUGUGGACCAGAUACGCACUUCAUGCAGUUUGAUGUCCUUGGCUCAAAUGGAACUUUUCCUGAUGUUUCUAACAUUUCAUUGAAUCACGAUGAACACGGAAAAAAGUUCUAAAUGACCACUUCAGUACAGAAACAAGACAUACAGAAGAGCAGCAAGGACUUCAUAUAAAAUAAUGUUUGGCACAUAAAACGGCUUUGGAGGACGGCAUGGUGGGAAACACGGAGCUCAAUUAAGUCAACUAAAUUAAAGCACCUGCUAUCAAAAGCCUGACAAAUUCCUCCUAAGAAGGAACCAAAGAAAAGCAACGUGGUCAUCUGGAGGUAGUGAUCCACAGGUGUCCUCAGCCUGGCAGGACCUGGUUUCUGUUUUCUCUGGGGAAAAAAAAAAAAAAAAAAAAAAAGUGAGAAAAGUGGGAGUUUGCAGUUUAUUAAACACCAGAGAAUCUACAGCAGCCAGCAGCAUUAUAAACACUUCAAGAUUCAAAAUACUGGAAAAGCUUUACACAGACAUACAACUUCCUGAGCAAAUUCACAUGGGGUGAAUUUGUGACCUGAGAGAAAACAGCUUUCAAACUGUGAAGACACCAGGCACCAGCCAGUGGCUGCAUAAGGGCCUUAACCGGCCCUCAUCUUCCUUGGGAGAACACCAAAGUGCUGGAAGGGAGCUCCAGUGCCAACCAGUGCUUGGGCUGCUCAGUGGAGCAGAAGCACAGCACAUCUGGAGGACAUGUGCUGGGGAGCACCGCUGGGUGCUCAGCAGUAACCACAGGAACUAUAUGAAACAAGGACUAUUUUUUCAUCAAACUGCCAAAAUAAAUAGCUAUUAAUGACUAUUAUAAAGUUUGUUAGGAGGAAAAUUAAUUGCAAAUUGUUUUUUUGCUGUUGCUUUUCCCUAAAGAAACUGACUAAUAGAUCGAUUCCUGAAGUGUCAAGUGUGUGUGUUUGUUGGGGGGGGGGAGCACUUUUAUCCCCUCUGCUUUCACAGGCCUGACCUCACCUGCUAAUUCUGAUUUCUUUCAUUGUCUUCAUCCCAGGGCACCAGUUCACGAUUAUUGGCAGAUUGCAAGAUAAAAACUCAAUAAUCUCUCUUGAUACUUUCCCCCUCUUCUACCGUCUGUUUCAGUAUUAGUACUUUCUAUUAAGAAAAUACCAAAUCCUCAUUAUAUGUCUGCAAGGAGUUUCACUUAUGAGAGAGCCAAUUGGAACUGCGUGCAUGGCAGCAUAUAAAGGGAUUUAAAACGUGGUAGGCAUUGACUAAUGCUCUGUAGGACUUUAUACAGCCCCACUGAAUCAGUGUUCACAUAGGCCUCCCUACACGGACAUGACCAGCUUCAGUUUUGCCCUUGGUAAGAGUCUUCUAACGAGCUCUGGUAAGGUAAUAAAUAAAUACAAACAAAUAUCUGAAACACUACGUGCAAGGCUGCUGGAUUACUUAAUUUAGCAUUCUUGUCAAGGGUCUAUUCCUGUCCUACUGUGUUUGGGGGAAUCUGUCCAGAGAUAGUGGGAAGGUCAAAUAACCUGACACUAGCGCUAAUACACUGGGAGAAAAUUUUUUGUGUUCUU